ensembl:lncRNA
GUCCCUGGUGGGGCCAGACUGACGCCUUUCCCAUUAAGUCCAGGAGGGAAGGGGCCCUGGCUAGCACGCGUUUUCCUCAAGGAGCAACAACCCCGUUUCCCUUUGCGGAACCACUCCACCCACUCUGGGUUCACGUGGCCCAACGGAGGCUGCCCCAGCCCGCCCAACAGGGAGCAUGUGACCCUGCCUAGCCAAUCAACUCGCUCCAAUGCCUCUCCUGGCCCUCGAUUGGUUCAGAGGCAGGCACAUGAACAAAGCCAGGCCAAUAGGACUCGACUUCCAGGGCCUUUGUUGGAAGCUCUGGGGGGAAGAUGGCUCUUGAGGACUAUGGGAAUGAGGGUUGUUGUCGUCCUGAAGCCUGAGGGAGAAGCCGACAUGGAGGGAAGUGCACGUGACAGGACACCUGCCGCUGCUUUCCAAAGCCUUUCCGGCCGCGGGUUCUCAGGCCACCGCACCAAGCCACGCUGUCCCUCUCGAAAGCGGCCGUUCCAGGCAAGGCAAAUCGAUACCGCGCUCAGCGAUUCAUCUUCAUUCGGACCACAUCCCCGCACCAGCCCCGGUGCUCUCCCCCGGCCUCCUCCUGAUGGGUUCCUGGAUGCUGACGAAUAGGAUUCUCGGCUGCGGCCACGCCGCGUUAGCAGAUUAAAUCGUUAAUAUCUGCAUCGGUCAUUUUUACGAGCCUCCCUUACCCCAAACGCGUCACCACCCUCGUGUUGAGUACACUGUUAGUGAUGCGGGCGGCCACGGUGCAGAUGAAAUUGCCACUCCUGAGGUUUUAUUGGCUGCGAGCUUGGGGAUAUUGAUUUCCCACCCCCCUGCUUUUCUGAAAUCAGGCAUCCUGCCCGGGGUUGCAGAAAUGCCCCUGCUCCCAGCACCCCAAAGAGGUGGGAAUUACCAUUAGCUCUUACGCUAAGGAAACUGAGGUCCCGGGAUUUGCCCCAGAUUACAGCAGACUUGAACUCGGGUGUGCAUAACUCCGGAGACUAUGCUCUUGACCAGCACCUACCUUGCCCUGCCUCCCCCCUUUAGCUCCAAGAGAGGGCACAGGUAGAAAGAAUAGAUGUUCAGGGUGAUGGAUGGAACGCUUGUGCCCCCCCCACCACCAGUUCAUGGGCUGAAGCCCUAAGCCCUAAUGUGAUGGUGUUAGAAACAGGGCCUUUGGGGGGUCAUCAGGCUAGAUGGGGUCAUGAAGAUGGGGCCCCCAUAAUGAGAUCAGUGUCCUUAUAAGGACAGGAAGCCACAGGGCGUGUGCUCCCCACCCCGCCCCUCUACCAUGCGAGGACACCGUGAGAAGCUGGCCAUCGCCAAGCCAGGAAGAGAGCCUCCCCGGGAAGCUGACCAUGCUGCCACCUUGAGCUUGGACUCCCCAGCCGCCAAAACAGUGAGACGCAAAUGGCUGCAGUGUAAGCCACCCAGUCUGCUAUUUUGUCAUGGCAGCCUGAGCAGACUAAGACGUCAGAAGCAUCACUCUGUCCAGGCCCAGAAGCAUCACUCUGUCGGCCCAGGGAGGCAGGGAGCAGAGGGACAAGAUGCCGGAAACCAGAGCGCAGGGUAGGUCUAUCUACGCUGCCACCUUCCACUACCCUCAGGCAAUUCCGCAGACCCCCAACUUCCCCACCCUCCAAAGCAGAAGAGAAUCCAACGGGCUCCCUCUUAAGUUCCAGAAGGUUUAGCUUUAUCUCCAAAGGAGCAGACAAUAAAUAUUCUGGGCUUUGUGGGCCA